rnacentral:lncRNA from 1 species
UGCGAUUUCAAAAAGUAGUAAGAUGAAGGAGGAGAACUGGAGGAAAGAUUCCGAGAACAAAAUCUGGAACCUUAGCUUAAAAGAAAAUAUUCUAUUUCGAUUAAACCCAAUAUUUUAUAGUUUUUUUGAUGUGUGCAAACGCUUUUGUUAGUAAUAGUCUAUUGAAGCUAAUAUAUUCCAUAUUUUUGUAUAUAGUGUUGCAAAAUCUGUUGCAAAUAAUAAUAUCAAAAUAUUUUUGGCAAAGUAGAAACUAUUUUUGCUGACCUUUUAUGUUGAUGGGCUUAAGAUCUCUAGCCCAGUUUUGGGUCUACAACAGCUUUUCUAUCCCCAUAUAAGACAUUGUCACCUCCUUCCACCCCUCUUUCCUUCUUUUCUUGCGUCUCUUCCCACCCUCGAACACUCGUCACUACUUCAUUCCCUCAGAAAAAUGGUGGCUCCGAAAAAGAACAGAAUGAAAUAGAAAGAAAGGCGAAAGUAAAAAAAAAAAGUACAUAAGAACAAAAGUAAGAGAAUAGAGAGAAUAGCAUCGAUUGCAAGAACUAACAGAGGCUCGUGAGCGGGGAACGUUAUUUUCUUCCUUUAGCCCCCUCGUCUAAGCGCACCCCUCCCCUUCCAAACCUUAUUUUUUAUUUAUUUUUUUCUUUCCCUCUUUACUCUGUGAACGCCCCCAUAAGUCGCUGACCAGAGGAAGAUGGAGAUAGCGAAAAAAGUAAGAAAAAUAAUAGAUAAAAAAUAGCCCAGCGUGCGGGGAUGAGUUGGAAUCCCCGGAUUUUCCUUCUGCCUAUAGCAUCUAUAAGAAGAGCCCGACGCUUGGACGAUCUUCCAAUAUGCAAGAAGAGUAGUUCUGGUUUUACUUUCUCACGUUCUACCCCCUUAUAACACAUUAAGCCUUUUUUUUUCUAUCUUCACCUACUUCUGAUUCUUUCUUUUUAGCGAAGAUCUGCAAGAUAUGAUUGUGUUAGAACAUACUCUGAAUCAUGAUUCAUUAAAGCCAUUUUCUGUAUUCGAAACAAGUAGAACACAUAUAUUUUUCAAAGCAUAAUUGAUAUGAAUUUAAGCAACAAAUGUCGGUAAUCUCCUUCACCCACAUAUUAGAUAGACGCUCCAAUUACAUUUUUACCAUGCUGGUAAAAUGUAAUAGGAUGCAUAACAGUUAAAUUUUUGUUGACUGAGUCUGUUCUUGUUGCAGAAAUUUACUUUUACUGAAGAUUCAAAUUUAGGAUCUAAAGAUGAAGUUCAAAUUUAAGACAUAUUGGGCAUUUUUAUCAAGCAUCCGACAAGAAUGUUAAAAUAUAGUAUACAACAUAAUAAACAAAAUAAGUUAAAGGUGCUUUAAUUCAUCAGCAGCUAAAAGAUCCACAUACUUUUUUUGCAAUGUAAAGUUUCGUUAAAGCAACAUGGCGAACAGAAAAAACUGAAAACCAUGUUGCAAUUGGCUGCAUAGAACAUAAUGAACACAUUCGGAAUUCUGUUUAAAUAAAAAUGCAAAAAAAAAAGAUCAAUCUGAGUUUAUUUUACAGCCAAAUACAUUUCAGAUCGUCCAUCUUCAAUCCAAUAAUUUUCUGAAGGCUGUUGUUAUUGUAGUAAAUGUGUUGAGUGGUCUAAAAAGUAUUUGGUUAAAAUGUUUUAGCUUGCUCUCUUUCAUUAGUUUUAUUAAUUAGCUAGUGUGUUUUUUAUUGUGUUAUCUUUUCUUUCAUUUUUUUAUUGUGUCUUCUUUUCAGUCAAUAGUGUAGGAUCCAGACAAUUGUUUAUGGUCUACAGCUUUUGCUGUUCGUCAUGUGACAAUAACGAAACCUUACACUUUAAAAAGCUGGUGAAGAUCUAGAAAAGUGGAAAAGCUUUUGGAAGUAUGUCCUGACGAACUAUAUGAGGUCCACAGCUGCAACCAUGGUUGACCAAUGGUGAUUUGGGACCAGUAUUUUACGGUACUUGUUGAGGAAAUGAGUCAACAUUGGAAAUGACCUAGAAGGAAAGCAAAAUACUUUUAUGAAUACAGCAUUAAUUUCACCUAAAAUAAAGCACAUUCAAACAUGAAAAUCGUAUUUGAAACCAUGAUUUAGAAUAAAAAUUUCGAUACUUUUAAUUUAAUUCGUCUAAAUCUCAAAUAUGCUGGAUUAAUGAUUAACAUUUUUAUUUCUUUUUCUUCUCCUUCGAAAAGUUGGUGAAGAUCAAAAAAAGUAGAAACGCUUUUGGAAGUAUGUCCUGACGAACUAUAUGUGGUCCACAGCUGCAACCAUGGUUGACCAGGGGUGAUUUGGGACCAGUAUUUUACGGUACUUGUUGAGGAAAUGAGUCAACAUUGGAAAUGACCUAGGAGGAAAGCUAAAUACUUUUAUGAAUACAGCAUUAAUUUCACCUAAAAUAAAACACAUUCAAACUGUUAUUUGAAAAUCGUGUUGAAAACCAUCAUUUAGAAUAAAAAUGUCAAUGCUUUCAAUUUAA